ACUCUCACUUGACAGAAAAAAAGUGUGAGUGGCGUCAGUCCAUGUUAAGUUCGCGUGAUUUAGUGUCUUAUUCUGUGAUUAAUCUUGACUUAUCGAUCUGGAAGGCCUACGAAGAGGUCUAUGUAAUUGCAAAAAUAAAAAAAGAACCUAUAUGCCUACGGUAAGAUUGGUCAUCUAGUGUAUCACUGGUAGAAGAUUAGGCCUAGGCCUAUGGCGCAGUAGCACAACAUGGAACCCAUAGGUAGUAGGCUAGCCUAUUAUGGCUGGUAAAUGUUAAGAAAGUAUGAAGUUACCUUAGUAUUAAAACUGUUUAAGCCAAGCUUCAAGAGUUUAAAAGUAAUAAAUAACGGAAUUGCAAAGGAAGUCGGUGUGAGUGUCGAAGAUUUAAAGGACAGAAAUUAAAAUCCUAGUUUAAGAUGCUGAUGGGGCAGAUAGACUGAAGCGACGUAGAUGCACAAAGUCAAAGCAAUAAUAAUGAAAGCUCUGCUAUGCAUAGAUAUGCUGGUUCUAAAAUGAAGCCGGAAAAUUAAUGUUGAAGUUGGCUACCUUUUUAUAGGCUAGUACUGUCAGUUACCCUAUGCUAGGUACCUAGGCCUAUGAAAUAUAAACGAGAAAUGCGAAACGUAGCCCUGGAGUCGGUUAGCCUAAAGAAGAUUACAGGAUGUGACUAUUCUUACCAUUGGGUCUAUGGAAUACCUAGAUGAGGAAAAAACGAAAAAUACCCCUGAUAUCUACUAGCCUAAAGAAAACUACAGAAUGUAACUAGCCUACCUAUUCUUAUGAUUAGGCCAAUGAGAAUGACCCAGAACUCCAACCAAAGAGAUAGGCUAGCAAGAUAUUUUGAUAGAAGGGUAAAAUGACGUUUCCAGUUGUAACAUUCUCAUAACGGCCUCAAAUAUUGUGCAAGUUUCGAAUUAUGGAAGGAGUAAUGUUCAACCAGGAUACUUCAAGAACCUUCCCCAAAGACGGCAGUUCGAGCAGCACUUCGUCCGCGUUCUGAACAAGGUCUACCAGACGAUCGAGAAGAACGAGAUGCGUCUCGGAGAGCACGACAGACGGGAGGCAGUUAGGGUCGAGUGGCAACAGGUGUCCCUGGUGUGCGAUCGCGUCCUCCUGGCCUGCUUCUUGCUGUCGACAGUCAUAGCGACGACGACUAUACUAUUUUCCUUGCCCCACGGUCCUUGACAACAUCUCUGUCGCGUUUCUAGCGGAAGUCAGCGAAACGAGAGGUAUGAAACCUCGUCAAAGAAAUCUUAUUAGAAAAUGAAGCGAGAAGGGCGGCCACACAUCUCAAUUGUUUAAAAAGUCGUUAAGUGUCACAACAGUGCCGGUGGGGCUCCUCCCCCCCGAGGGCAUAUCACCUUCAGCACUGGAAAUCCUAUAAUAUCGACCUAAUUUUUGUUUGUUCAUUUAUUCAUUUCAUUGAAGCUUUUUAGAACCUAUGUGAUUCCAUUUUCUAAACAAUGCUAACUGUUCCGUGAAAUCGAAAUGUCAAGCGUGGAACUGGGAGAUGGAUCCUUCCUUCCGUGUCA